CCUACGGGAGGCAGCAGUGGGGAAUCUUGCGCAAUGGGGGAAACCCUGACGCAGCGGCGCCGCGUGGAGGAUGAAGGCCUUCGGGUUGUAAACUCCUGUCAGAGGGGACGAAAUCCCGCAAGGGACUGACGGUACCCUCAGAGGAAGCCCCGGCUAACUACGUGCCAGCAGCCGCGGUAAUACGUAGGGGGCAAGCGUUACUCGGAAUUACUGGGCGUAAAGGGUGAGUAGGCGGCUGGGCAAGUCAAGGAUGAAAUCCCGAGGCUCAACUUCGGAACUGUCCUUGAAACUGCUCAGCUUGAGGGUAGUUGAGGAGAGCGGAAUUCCCGGUGGAGCGGUGAAAUGCGUAGAUAUCGGGAGGAACACCAGAGGCGAAAGGCGGCUCUCUAAGCUACUCCUGACGCUGAAUCACGAAAGCUAGGGGAGCAAACG
rnacentral:rRNA from 1 species